CGACGCUAACGCUAACUGCUCCGUGUUGGUUCGUGUUACGGCACCAUAUUAAAAAAAGGUGGAUGACCUGUCUCCCUAACAUCAUCUGAGCCGAAGGCCUCUGUUAGGAGCAUCCCACUCUGUCUCUUAUUUCCCAGAGGACAUGGAAUGCAUCAGCACACUGGCCUGCGUGAGAUCUGCACAGGACACACUACAACCUCACAAGGACCUCAAUUUUUCUGCACACCACUAGUCUUAACCAAAUGCAGGCAUGGACACUGGCUGCCUGAGAAGAACGGUCAAAAGAGUAAAAAUGGCACAUCCUGCACUCUUUGGCAGCGUGGAGGUUGGGGGGUAAUGGGGGACUGCACAUAGAGGAUAUUUACUCAGGUUUUUCUACAGAGACAUCCUAGAGGGUACAUUUUCUCACAUACAGUACAUUGAGGGCAGUUCAUUUCAUUUUCUUGCUUGUAGGAGAGCCUAUAAGGAAGUACAUUGCAUUUUUUCCAAAGAAGGACACAUACUAGGGCACUUCAUCACACCUCACAUAAACUUCACCAAAAGAGCAUCCCAGAGGGCAC